rnacentral:rRNA from 1 species
GACGCUUAUCGCAGAUUAGCACGUCCUUCAUCGCCUCUGACUGCCAGGGCAUCCACCGUGUACGCUUAGUCGCUUAACCUCACAACCCGAAGAUGUUUCUUUCGAUUCAUCAUCGUGUUGCGAAAAUUUGAGAGACUCACGAACAACUUUCAUUGUUCAGUG